UACGUAGGGUGCGAGCGUUAAUCGGAAUUACUGGGCGUAAAGGGUGCGCAGGCGGCUAUAUAAGUUAGAUGUGAAAUCCCUAAGCUUAACUUAGGAAUGGCAUUUGAUACUGUAUAGCUAGAGUUUUAUCAGAGGGAGGUAGAAUUCCAAGUGUAGCAGUGAAAAUGCGUAGAUAUUUUGGAGGAAUACCGGUGGCGAAGGCGGCCUUCUGGGAUAAAACUGACGCUCAGGCACGAAAGCGUGGGUAGCAAACAGG
rnacentral:rRNA from 1 species